ACGAAGGGUGCGAGCGUUGUUCGGAAUUACUGGGCGUAAAGGGUUUGUAGGCUGAAAUGUAAGUCAAGUGUGAAAUCCCCGAGCUAAACUUGGGACGUGCAUUUGAAACUGUGUUUCUUGAGUAUCGUAGAGGGUGGUGGAAUUGUAGGUGUAGGAGUGACAUCCGUAGAGAUCUGCAGGAACAUCAGAGGCGAAGGCGACCACCUGGCCGAUUACUGACGCUGAGGAACGAAAGCGUGGGGAGCAAACAGG
rnacentral:rRNA from 1 species